rnacentral:rRNA from 1 species
UACACGUCGAUAAUCUGCCCUGAGGUCAGUGAAAGCUACGCGAAAGUGUAGGUAAACACCGAUAGGCAAUAGGCACUGCAAGGUCCUUUUGCUUAAACUCGUGCCUCAGGAUGAGUUGGCGGCCGAUUAGGUAGUUGGCGGGGUAAAGGCCCACCAAGCCUUGGAUCGGUACGGGUCAUGAAAGUGAUAGCCCGGAGAGGGACACUGAGAUACUGGUCCCAGCCCUACGGGGUGCAGCAGGCGCGAAAACUCUCCAAUGUGCGAAAGCGUGAGAGGGGAAUUCCUAGUGCUACGGGUUUAUCCCGUGGCUUUUGCCAUGUGUAAAUAGCAUGGCGAAUAAGUGGUGGGCAAGACUGGUGCCAGCCGCCGCGGUAACACCAGCGCCACGAGUGGCUAUCACGAUUAUUGGGCCUAAAGCGUCCGUAGUCAGUUCUGUACAUCUUCUGUGAAAUCGCAGCGCUUAACGUUGCGGCACGCAGAAGACACGGCAGAGCUUGAGAGCGGGAGGCGUGAAGGGUACUCCGGGGGGACCGGUAAAAUGGUAUAAUCCCCGGAAGACCACCUGUGGCGAAGGCGCUUCACGAGAACGCAUCUGACGAUGAGGGACGAAAGCCAGGGGAGCAAACCGGAUUAGAUACCCGAGUAGUCCUGGCCGUAAACGCUGUCAGCUAGGUGUUGCGUGUUCCUUGUGAGCUCGCAGUAUCGGAGCGAAGGUAUUAAGCUGACCCGCCUGGAAG